rnacentral:rRNA from 1 species
UACAGAGACCUCAAGCGUUAUCCGGAUUUAUUGGGCGUAAAGAGCGAGCAGAAGGUUUGGCGCGUCUGUUGUUAAAGCCCACCGCUCAACGGUGGAAUCGCAAUGGAUACGGCCGAACUAGAGGGCACCAGAGGCUGAUGGAACGCACAGUGUAGGGGUGAAAUCCGUUGAUAUUGUGCGGAACACCAAAGGCGAAGGCAUUCAGCUGGGGUGUCCCUGACUUUCAUUCGCGAAAGCGUGGGGAGCAAAAAGG